AGCCACGUUACAAGCCUAAUAAAGUCCACAGAGAUUGGAUAAUGUUUGCUCAAAUUUUCAUAAAGCUUAAUUUUGCGAUAAGGCGAAAUGACUUUCAAUGUGUCGUAAAAAAAAGUUAAAAUGAAUGAGUAGAAACAAAAUAAAAAUGAAAAAAUGAAAAAAAAAAUGAAAAAAAGAGAAAAAAGUAAUGUCUCAGGAAGAGGGGAUCUCCUUGCCAACUAGCCAGAAGCAUGCAAAAGAAAAUCAAAUCAAUGGGGAUCAUCCUUUUGCCGAUCCUUUUCGUGCCUACUACUUUUUCCAAACAAAACCCCUUGCCAAAGAAAAAACUGGGGCAACUUUGUGAGUCUCACAAGAGUUUUUCAUCAACCCAUACCCCAAUAAGAAAAACAAAAAAAUUGGCGCAACUUUGUGAGUCUCACACAAGUUUUUCAUCAAUCCACAAUCCCAAGACUGGGGCAUCUUUACAAGUCUCACUUGAUCUUCUUCACCCUAAUUUUCAUGGAUUCAUACCCCAUGCCCAUUUUCCCUAACACCAAGCUGGGGCACCCUUUGGGGAUCUCGUUUUCCACCUUGACAUUCACAGAUUACAUCUCGGUCAAGGAGUAUAUGAGGAAUGAUGUCCCCACAUGACUGUCCUAGUUUUCUUCAAACCAUUCUAAAAAACUCUCAUUCUUCACCUGCCAGUAAAUUCAAGCAUGUGUGCGCUGAGGUCUCGAAGGAAAAAGUCAAAAUGUAAUCAUAUGAGACAUUAG
rnacentral:lncRNA from 1 species